rnacentral:rRNA from 1 species
UAGUGAUAGCUGGUUGUUCAGGAAAAGAGUUUUAGCUCUGCCUUAAGUUUUUUUAUUUUACCAAACAAGCUCAAAAACUUAAGAGUUAUUCAAAUUAGGCACAGCUUAUUUGAAACAGGAUACAACCUCAACCAUUGGGUAAACAAGGGUAAUAAAAAUAAAGUGGGCCCAAAAGCAGCCACCUUCCAAAAAGCGUCAAAGCUUAAUUACUCAAGCCCGUAAUUUCCAAAACACUCUACAACCCCUCAUCUAUACUGAACUAUUUUAUAUAUAUAUAAAAAUAAUUAUGCUAGAACUAGUAACAAGAAGUUACCCUUCUCCUUAAUGUGAGCAUACACCAAAACGGACACUCCAUUGGUAGUUAACGUAGAUGCAAAACCAUAAUAACAUAACCAGAAAACCUUAUGGCCACCCAACGUUACCCUUACACCAGAGCAUUACAGGAAAGAUUAAAAGAAAGAGAAGGAACUCGGCAAAUUUUAACCCCGCCUGUUUACCAAAAACAUCGCCUCUUGAUUAAAAAUAAGAGGUCCAGCCUGCCCAGUGAUAAUAUUAAACGGCCGCGGUAUACUAACCGUGCGAAGGUAGCAUAAUCACUUGUUCUUUAAAUGGGGACUUGUAUCAACGGCAUCACGAGGGUUAUACUGUCUCCUCUCUCCAAUCAGUGAAACUGAUCCCCCCGUGAAGAAGCGGGGAUUUUAUUAUAAGACGAGAAGACCCCAUGGAGCUUUAAACUCGACAUACACCAAGGCACUAAAACACCAAUUUAACCCAAAAACCUGUACGUCAGUUUUAGGCUGGGGGGGCCACGGAGUAAAACUAAACCUCCACAACAAAUGGGCUAACACCCUUAUUUAAGAUUUACAAAUCUAAGAAUCACCAAAAUGAUGUUUAAUGACCCGAUAAUUCGAUCAAUGGACCAAGUUACCCUGGGGAUAACAGCGCAAUCUACUUCAAGAGCCCUUAUCGACAAGUAGGUUUACGACCUCGAUGUUGGAUCAGGGUAUCCUAGUGGUGCAACCGCUACUAACGGUUCGCUUGUUCAGCGAUUAAAACCCU